GACGUAGGGCGCGAGCGUUGUUCGGAUUUACUGGGCGUAAAGGGCGCGUAGGCGGCCACCGCAAGUCGACUGUGAAAUCUCCGGGCUUAACUCGGAAAGGUCAGCCGAUACUGCGGGGCUAGAGUGCAGAAGGGGCAACUGGAAUUCUCGGUGUAGCGGUGAAAUGCGUAGAUAUCGAGAGGAACACCUGCGGCGAAGGCGGGUUGCUGGGCUGACACUGACGCUGAUUGUGCGAAAGCUAGGGGAGCGAACGGG
rnacentral:rRNA from 1 species